CCGGUAGCUAAAUGCGGAAGAGAUAAGUGCUGAAAGCAUCUAAGCACGAAACUUGCCCCGAGAUGAGUUCUCCCUGAGACUUUAGGUCUCCUGAAGGAACGUUGAAGACGACGACGUUGAUAGGCCGGGUGUGUAAGCGCAGCGAUGCGUUGAGCUAACCGGUACUAAUGAACCGUGAGGCUUAACCUUACAACGCCGAAG
rnacentral:rRNA from 1 species